AAAAAGUAGUCAACAAUAGGCCAAGACUUGUGGUGUUUUCUUACAGAAGUCUGCUCACACACCAGUUGACCAGGGUCUUAAAAGAAUCCUUAUCUACUUCGACCAGAGAAAUUCCAACCCAAGGGAACUUGGAAUUUAUGGAUUUUGAAGGCAACAAGACCUAAGAGUCUGGCUUAUCAACAUAAUGUGCCCAGCAUCACCCACAUGGAGGCUUUAGUUAUAAUCCUCGUGCACUGGUUUGGACCCUGGAAUUCGUUUGAAGAGAUGUAGAUCAUCAGCUGAGUGCCAUGUGCCAACCGUGAGACCCAGACUGAUGUUGGACAUGUUUGUAGUUUUGGGGAAGUUCAGACCCUCACUACAUUUUUCUUCGUGCCAUCCUGAAACCAUCUGUCUGUUUUUCGUUUCAUGGCGUCUUCUACCUUCAGUGGCCAGCUCUUGCCAGGAAUGGAUUUUUCUGAAGUAUCAAGAGGUCACAAAUAACAAGAACAUCUGGAAAGGGCCAGAGAGAACACAUCAUGUCAUCCCUGUCAUCCUUGUCAAGGCUGUCUCUUGCGCGCGCCGGACUGGCCAGCAGUAACGACGCUGCAACAGGAUCCUUCUGCACACGUUUAUUGGGAGAGCUUGAUUGCAGAGGCGAAGAGACCCCGAGCCCAGAACUGAUGGUGCUGCAGCUCUUUCCCCCAUUGCUUAAUAUCUUGAUGGCAUUUUAAAGACCAUGGGUUCUGAAUCAACCUGUUGCCGUUUUAUCCAAGAUUCUUCACCAAAAGUCCUCUAUCCUUGCUGGACCGUGGUGCCCACUGACCAUGAAUGAAAUUCUUCUCCCUCGCCACCAACGUGCUCCCAUUCACCUGGGACCCAGCAGCAUGUCUACAGCCACCUCUGUUCAUGACUUCCCCAUCCUCUUGACACAUUACCAUCACCUGAGAAAUACCGAGCAGCAAAGAACUUCUGCAAUGCCAACCAAACUAUCACAGUUGUUCAUAUCCCUGCUUCUCCUGCUGUGUCCGCAGCUCUUUUUGACCAUUCCUACAGGCCAAGAACCUGGAAACACCUGGCCCAGAUCCUGACUGCUAUCAACACACCAACUUUGUCCAGCUUGAAAACAAAGCAGAACAAAACAAGACAAAGGCAAAGACAAAAAAACAAAACAAAACAAAAAAAUCCCCCAAAGACCAAAACCAAAACAAAAAACCCACCAAAACCUCUGUUCCUUUUGUGUUUUAUUUUCCUCAUUAGUCAUUCCUGUUAGUGAGCACACACACGCCACGCCUCAUCAAAACAUACUGUACCUUAUUUCCAUGUCACUCCCUCCCCACUUAUUCUUCUUCUGAACAAAAACACUCUAUUCACAUUUUCUCCCUCCUCCUAGUCUUCCUCAGGUCUACUCCAGGCAAGCUCACACCCCACUACCAAGGAAACCCUUACAGUGAAGCUUCCAGCGACAUCUGCACUGCCAAGGCCCACUCUGAAGUCCCAGCUCUUGUCUUGGUCAACGAGUCGCAGUCACUGACUUCGGGGGCUGAUGAAUCCCUUCUGUC